UUUUAUUUUGUCAGUGGCCGCGUUCGGUUAUCGGCGAGUUAACGGCGCGUUCAGCGACAGCCGUUUAAGGCCCCCAAAGCCCAGCUUUUACUUAAGUCACGAAAAACAGAAACAAGAACAAGAACAGAGAGCAAAGCAACAGUGAUAAACGGCUUUAAAUUGUUUCGUUUAAAUAUUUAAGUUGCGAGUUUUAUUCCUUGUUUUAUUCUUGCGAAUCAACGUGCCGCGUUAUCAGCCUCGUGCAAAGAGAACAACAAAAAUUCAAAAGCGAUCUCAAAAGAACAAAAAAAAAGAAACUAAGAAGGUGCCGUGUUGUUGUUACGCCAAUGAUUUCCAAAGUUGCUGUUACCAACAACAAUACCAAGAACAACAGCAACAACACCAACCAUUGAUAAAGAGCUGAACAGCAGAACAUUUAAACGAUUUCGUUGUCAGCGCCCCUAUGGUGCAUGCUGAAAAUUGCAAGUUGAAUUUUGGCCAGGCGGCAACUAAUCACCUGAUUGCAAAUACCAAUGAAAACCAAUGAAAACAACGUCUACAAAUAUAGCACAUACGAAACGAGCAGCGAAACAAACGCUUCUAAGGGACAGCUGAAGAAGAAGAAGAAGAAGUUUGGGCCUCGCAGUCAUACGUACAAGUGCCUGAAUCAUAAUCCGCUAAUAGAUCUGUUAGAGCUCGGCAUACAUGUACUAAAGAUACUUAAGCAGAGACAGCCACAGUCAUAGUCACAGUCACAGUUACUCAAGCAGUGUCCAAGUCCGAGUCUCAGACUGAGUCGCGGAGUCCAAGGUACAACUGCUGACCAGAGCCAAGUGCAAGUGCAACAGCGCAAGCUAAAGUCGUUGUUGAAGCGUUUGUUUUCUUUUUUUUUUGGUUUUUUUGUUGAAGCAACUCACACCCACCUAAGUCUUUGAAUUCGAAUUUUUCGAUUCGACUGUGGCAAAAUAAAAUACAAAAAAACGUCGAAGUAGGCACCUUAAUUGCCCUGACAGCCACAGCCAUAGCAGCAGCAACAGCAGCAACAGCCGCAGCAGCAGCAGCAGC
rnacentral:sRNA from 1 species